UUUGCCUCCCAUGGCUUGCUCA
rnacentral:misc_RNA from 1 species